rnacentral:misc_RNA from 1 species
AGAUUGGUUACUGUGAGAAGAAGGUAAUAUACAACCAUCUGAUGUUUUUGUUAUUGCUAUUCUUUGUCCUAUGCUUACAUUAGUGAUUAAAAUAGCAAAUGUUCAAUGAUAUCUUCUGCAGUUGUUGGAAGGCAUAUUAAUCAUGGUUUGGACAGUACAAAAGGAAAUCAAAGAACAAUUCAGUUAUACAUUUCUGAAUUAUACUGUUCAAUUUUAACCAUAUGAGCCUAAUUUGCUAAUCUUAUCUGUCAUUCAGUUGCAUAAUUUUGCUUCAUUAUGUUGUAAUAAUUGCUAUUAUAUUUAUUUUUCUGACUAUAAUUAUUUUUGGUUGAUAUAAUUCAGGCAAUGAGAGUUUAGUGACAUCCUAUGCAUUUGUUGGGUUGGGGUUUCUCAAUGAGGUCAAUAAAAGAAAUGAUAUGUUUGCAAAAGCAACGAGCUCUUGAUUUAUUUAUUGCAUUCUUGGAAUACCUUGUUGUAGGGCUGAGCAGAAUUCGGU